AAAGUAGGGGAUCGCAAGACCUUGCGCUUUUGGAGUGGCCGAUGCCUGAUUAGCUAGUUGGUGGGGUAAUGGCCUACCAAGGCGACGAUCAGUAGUUGGUCUGAGAGGACGACCAGCCACACUGGGACUGAGACACGGCCCAGACUCCUACGGGAGGCAGCAGUGGGGAAUUUUGGACAAUGGGCGAAAGCCUGAUCCAGCAAUGCCGCGUGAGUGAAGAAGGCCUUCGGGUUGUAAAGCUCUUUCAGUCGAGAAGAAAAGGUUGUGACUAAUAAUCACAACUCAUGACGGUAUCGACAGAAGAAGCACCGGCUAACUACGUGCCAGCAGCCGCGGUAAUACGUAGGGUGCGAGCGUUAAUCGGAAUUACUGGGCGUAAAGGGUGCGCAGGCGGCUUUGUAAGUCAGAUGUGAAAUCCCCGGGCUUAACCUGGGAAUUGCGUUUGAAACUACAAAGCUAG
rnacentral:rRNA from 1 species